rnacentral:rRNA from 1 species
AAUAGAUACCCCGGUAGUCCACGCCGUAAACGAUGAAUACUAGGUGUGGGGGUUGUCAUGACCUCCGUGCCGCCGCUAACGCAUUAAGUAUUCCGCCUGGGGAGUACGGUCGCAAGAUUAAAGCUCAAAGGAAUUGACGGGGGCCCGCACAAGCAGCGGAGCAUGUGGUUUAAUUCGAAGCAACGCGAAGAACCUUACCUAGACUUGACAUCUCCUGAAUUACUCUGUAAUGGAGGAAGCCCUUCGGGGCAGGAAGACAGGUGGUGCAAGGUUGUCGUCAGCUCGUGUCGUGAGAUGUUGGGUUAAGUCCCGCAACGAGCGCAACCCUUAUUGUUAGUUGCUACCAUUUAGUUGAGCACUCUAGCGAGACUGCCCGGGUUAACCGGGAGGAAGGUGGGGAUGACGUCAAAUCAUCAUGCCCUUAUGUCUAGGGCUACACACGUGCUACAAUGGCUGGUACAGAGAGAUGCAAUACCGUGAGGUGGAGCCAAACUUUAAAACCAGUCUCAGUUCGGAUUGUAGGCUGAAACUCGCCUAC